rnacentral:sRNA from 1 species
GCGGAGGAAAAGAAACCAACAGGGAUUGCCUCAGUAACGGCGAGUGAAGCGGCAACAGCUCAAAUUUGAAAUCUGGUCCCCUCUGGGGGCCCGAGUUGUAAUUUGAAGAGGAUGCUUUUGGCGAGGCGCCGUCCGAGUUCCCUGGAACGGGACGCCGCAGAGGGUGAGAGCCCCGUACGGUCGGACGCCGAGCCUCUGUAAAGCUCCUUCGACGAGUCGAGUAGUUUGGGAAUGCUGCUCAAAAUGGGAGGUAAACCCCUUCUAAAGCUAAAUACCGGCCAGAGACCGAUAGCGCACAAGUAGAGUGAUCGAAAGAUGAAAAGCACUUUGAAAAGAGAGUUAAAAAGCACGUGAAAUUGUUAAAAGGGAAGCGCUUGCGACCAGACUUGCGCCCGUCGGAUCAACCGUCGCUUGCGGCGGCGCACUCCGGCGGGCUCAGGCCAGCAUCAGUUCGCUCGGGGGGAGAAAGGCGGCGGGAAUGUAGCUCCUCGGAGUGUUAUAGCCCGCCGUGUAAUAC